GAUGAACGCUAGCGGCAGGCUUAAUACAUGCAAGUCGUGGGGCAGCAUGAGUAGCAAUACUUGAUGGCGACCGGCAAACGGGUGAGGAACACGUACACAACCUUCCUUCAAGCGGGGAAUAGCCCAGAGAAAUUUGGAUUAAUACCCCAUAAUAUAUUUGAUAGGGCAUCUUAUUAAAUAUUAAAGCUUCGGCACUUGAUGAUGGGUGUGCGGCUGAUUAGAUAGUUGGCGGGUAACGGCCCACCAAGUCUACGAUCGGUAGCUGAUGUGAGAGCAUGAUCAGCCACACGGGCACUGAGACACGGGCCCGACUCCUACGGGAGGCAGCAGUAAGGAAUAUUGGACAAUGGACGAAAGUCUGAUCCAGCCAUGCCGCGUGAAGGAUUAAGGUCCUCUGGAUUGUAAACUUCUUUAUAUGGGACGAAAAAGGGCAUUCUUGUUCACUUGACGGUACCAUAUGAAUAAGCACCGGCUAACUCCGUGCCAGCA
rnacentral:rRNA from 1 species